AUACGGAGGAUGCGAGCGUUAUCCGGAUUUAUUGGGUUUAAAGGGUGCGUAGGCGGUCGGGUAAGCGUAGGGUGAAAGUCCUCUGCUCAACAGAGGAAGUGCCUUCCGAACUGUCCGACUGGAAUGCUCCUGCCGUGGGAGGAAUGUGUGGUGGAGCGGUGAAAUGCAUAGAGAUCACACAGAACACCGAUUGCGAAGGCAUCUCACGAAGGGGCUAUUGACGCUGAGGCACGAAAGCGUGGGGAUCAAACAGGAUUAGAUACCCUGGUAGUCCACGCAGUAAACGAUGAUGACUAACCGUCGGUCAAGACUGAUCGGUGGCCAAGCGAAAGCGAUAAGUCAUCCACCUGGGGAGUACGACCGCAAGGUUGAAACUCAAAUGAAUUGACGGGG
rnacentral:rRNA from 1 species